AACUGCGUUGCAUGGUGCUCUGGCUCCCUUCAUUUUUCAUCCAUGUAGGAUGCACUGAUCUUUGCAGGAGCAUCCUCUGGGCCUCCAGAGAAGACUAAGCUGCCAACAUUUCAUGGAGUAAUUAAAUGACAAAUACCUGCAGGCUCUCAACUGGAAAGCUUGUAGCAGAACAGCCUUUCCAUAUUCAUAGGACUUAAUCAAAUCUGAAAGCACAGAGGCCCUUCUCAGCCUUUGUCCUAAGGGUCUAACUAAUAGGACUGCCAUACUUCCACAAGGAGCCAAAGCCAGAAGUUGGUCUUGCUGAUUGACAUAUUUUCCA
rnacentral:lncRNA from 1 species